rnacentral:rRNA from 1 species
AGCGAACGCUGGCGGCAGGCCUAACACAUGCAAGUCGAACGAAGCCUUCGGGCUUAGUGGCGGACGGGUGAGUAACACGUGGGAACGUACCUUUUGGUUCGGAACAACUCAGGGAAACUUGAGCUAAUACCGGAUGAGCCCUUCGGGGGAAAGAUUUAUCGCCAUUAGAGCGGCCCGCGUUAGAUUAGCUAGUUGGUGAGGUAAAGGCUCACCAAGGCUACGAUCUAUAGCUGGUCUGAGAGGAUGAUCAGCCACACUGGGACUGAGACACGGCCCAGACUCCUACGGGAGGCAGCAGUGGGGAAUCUUGCGCAAUGGGCGAAAGCCUGACGCAGCCAUGCCGCGUGAAUGAUGAAGGUCUUAGGAUUGUAAAAUUAGAGGACCAGGGACGAUAAUGACGGUACCUGGAGAAAAAGCCCCGGCUAACUUCGUGCCAGCCGCCGCCGUAAAAC